CGGUCGCAAGAUUAAAACUCAAAUGAAUUGACGGGGGCCCGCACAAGCGGUGGAGCAUGUGGUUUAAUUCGAUGCAACGCGAAGAACCUUACCUACUCUUGACAUCCAGAGAAGCCAGCGGAGACGCAGGUGUGCCUUCGGGANCUCUGAGACAGGUGCUGCAUGGCUGUCGUCAGCUCGUGUUGUGAAAUGUUGGGUUAAGUCCCGCAACGAGCGCAACCCUUAUCCUUGUUUGCCAGCGAGUAAUGUCGGGAACUCCAGGGAGACUGCCGGUGAUAAACCGGAGGAAGGUGGGGACGACGUCAAGUCAUCAUGGCCCUUACGAGUAGGGCUACACACGUGCUACAAUGGCGCAUACAGAGGGCAGCAAGCUAGCGAUAGUGAGCGAAUCCCAAAAAGUGCGUCGUAGUCCGGAUUGGAGUCUGCAACUCGACUCCAUGAAGUCGGAAUCGCUAGUAAUCGUGAAUCAGAAUGUCACGGUGAAUACGUUCCCGGGCCUUGUACACACCGCCCGUCACACCAUGGGAGUGGGCUGCAAAAGAAGUGGGU
rnacentral:rRNA from 1 species